AUUGAACGCUGGCGGCAUGCCUAACACAUGCAAGUCGAACGGCAGCACAGUAAAGACUUCGGGCUCUAUGGGUGGCGAGUGGCGGCCGGGUGAGCAACGCGUAGGAAUCUGUCCUGGAGGGAGGGCUAACCCGAGGAAACUCGGGCUAAUACCGCAGGAUAUCGAGAGAUCAAAAGCCGGGGACCCAUCGGAGCCCUGCGCCGCAGGUUGGGCCUACGGUGGAUUACCUAGUGGGUGGGGUAAAGGCCUACCAAGGCGACGAUCCGUAGCUGGUCUGAGAGGAUGACCAGCCACACUGGGACUGAGACACGGCCAAGACUCCUACGGGAGGCAGCAGUGGGGAAUCUGGGACAAUGGGGGAAACCCUGAUCCAGCGAUGCCGCGGGUGUGAAGAAGGCCUUCGGGUUGUAAAGCACUUUAGUUGGGGAAGAAAAGUAAUAAGUAAAUAAUCUAUUGCUCUGACGGUACCCAAAGAAUAAGCACCGGCUAACUCUGUGCCAGCCGCCGCCGUAA
rnacentral:rRNA from 1 species